AAAAAGAAACGAACAAAAAGUAAAAAAGACCAGCACUCAAUCACCACACUGAUUUAUAGAGAGAUGGGCAAAAGAAACUAAAUCAAUAACAGUUCCCGAAUGCUGUCAAUAUCGAAUACUGCUUACUUGUACUAUGAUAAUUCAAUAAGAAUACAGUAUGUUCGUAGGCGCGAUGGCAUCUUUACGAACAGAAUAUUUAAUCGAUGCGCAAAAAUAAUAUUGAACCGAUAAUUUCCCAAAUCUAUUGGAAAUGAAAAAACACACACACGCCCACAAAAACAAUUGAGCAGCAUUUUUUUUGGUAGAUAGAAUAUUAAGUCACUCAUAAAUAACACUAUCUAACCUAAUAAAUAUGUUCACGCUAAUAUUAAAAAAUUCACUUCAAAUUUCCGCUAAAUCUAGUACGAUAGCACAAAAAACCACAACUCCCAGCGCUUCAGAAAAAUUCACACAUUCAAUUUAAGAAAAAGAAGCUGCGUUCCCUACCUAAUCCAAAGAAUAGACGGGCAAUGAAAUAUCUGGAUUAAGGAAAAAUAAUCAGACGCACAUUCAAACUUCGAAAAGAAGCAGAAAUCCGAACAUCCGCAGCAAGCGAUUGGUCAGCGGAGCUGAUCGCGAUUCAGAAUCGGAGGGAGCGAAACCCUAGAACUGAACCCCGAGAAGAGUCGGACCGAAUGGAAAAGCAGAAGAAAAGAGGAAUAAAAAUGCGGAGGAAGUCGAGACUCAAAGACGAGAUCAGAAACGGGUGGGGAGGUCCUUCUUUGAAUUUACCUUUUUUAUUACAACGAUUAUAUUUUUUUUUUUAAUUUAUAUAUUAUCGAUUGAGCGGAAUUAUGCCUUGUGCGUAUAAAGAAACAAAAAUCUGAAACGGACUGCCACGUGGGAGAUAUACCUCUUUUAGCGUGCUCACCAAAUUGGUGUGACGAUUGAUAUGAUCCGCCCCCGAGCCCGUGGAUUUGCCGUAACGCUUUCAUUCUCUUCUUUUUCUUUGUUUUUUGAGUGAGACUUUCUUAAGAAAU
rnacentral:lncRNA from 1 species